rnacentral:rRNA from 1 species
AACGCGAAGAACCUUACCCGCUCUUGACAUGCAAAUUACACCCAUGAGAGAUUAUGGGCUCGGUUCGGCCGGGUUUGCACAGGUGCUGCAUGGCUGUCGUCAGCUCGUGUCGUGAGAUGUUGGGUUAAGUCCCGCAACGAGCGCAACCCUUACUGCUAGUUGCCAUCAGGUUUGGCUGGGCACUUUAGCGGAACUGCCGGUUCUAAGCCGGAGGAAGGUGGGGAUGACGUCAAGUCCUCAUGGCCCUUAUGGGCGGGGCUACACACGUAAUACAAUGGUGGUGACAGAGGGAAGCGAAAGGGUGACCUGGAGCCGAUCCUUAAAAGCCAUCUCAGUUCGGAUUGUUCUCUGCAACUCGAGAGCAUGAAGUUGGAAUCGCUAGUAAUCGUCGAUCAGCACGCGACGGUGAAUACGUUCCCGGGCCUUGUACACACCGCACUACUA